UCUAAAUACCUAUUCGACUCUAAAUCAACCAAACAUCCAUAACGACAAUCCUACUUAAUCAUAUGGACCACAUUAAUCCCUAAUUAACGAAAAUCAAGAAAAAUCCUAAUUUGAACCCUAAUGAAGAAAAAUCAGUAGCAAUGACUUAAUCCAAAAAUUUAAUGAAGUUAAAAUAAAUUAACAAGGAUUAAAGAAAUAUCAAUGGGAUUAGCAAGAACAAAAAACGUUAAUGGGCCAAGGGGUAUUGGAGAAAGGAGAGGGGUGACUGGGACAAAUUACUUGAGCCAAAAGCCCAGGUUUUAACCAAGGAUCCAAGGAAAGGAUCCAAAACCCACGAGACUGAAAUCCGGUCCCUCAUGUCCAUGACCUAAUCCCCAAAAUGUGACGCCGAAAAUGUCUCUCAACUCAUACACGCCACAGUGAAAAUUCGAAAAACAUCCCGAAUUGAAUUGCAAACUCGUCUUAGCUCCAAACGGUAAAUGAAAGUUCGAGUCAAAAUUUAAACCUGAGCUCAACCUUACGGCGCCGGCAAGUCUCCCUCAGUGGCCACACGAGCAACGUGAAUCACUCGAGGAACUCGAUUCGUCCUCCGCGUGAGAAUCCCUUGAAUGAGCGCCCGACUCAAAAGUCCGAUGCGGAGGAUUAGGAGAUGUGUUCGUUGAUCCUCUCCUUCGUUUUUCGUACGCUUAUGUUCAUGGCUGAUUCUUCCGUUGGUGUUGUAGUGGUGUGUGGACGGUCUUUAUCACGUUGAGCUGAAAAGGGAGUAUGACCUUUAAUGCGCGACGCCUCCGGUAGUGAAUCAAGACGUGAAGGUAUCGAAAAUCCUUUUGACGCAUUGUUCUUCCUUUUUUCGAUUUUUCUUCAUCCUCUUGUUCUCUAUCUUCUCUGGGUCUUUUGGUUGAAAGGUUGAGGGCGAUUCAGAACUCAAUUUGGGAGAGUGGGGUCUGUGAUGCUGAUUGUUAAGAGGUUCUAUCGAAGAAAGUUGAAGAUGGUUCUAGAGGUUGGUUAGCAUUCUGUUAGGGAUUGGUUUAAGAGUCGGUUAGAAGUUGGUUGAAGAAGAGACUUUUGUUCAGUUAAAGUUCUGUUGGAAGAGUGGUUAGAAUUGUUGUUCAGAAUCUAAGUUGAUAAGUAUCAUGGCAGUUAGAAUAAGCUUUUGAGAAUUGGUUAUUGAAGUGAAGGUUAUAAAAUUCUGUUUUUGAAGGUUGAGUAUGUUGAGCUUGUUAUUCAGCUUGGAUUCAGUUCGGUUUUUUCGCUGGCAUCGCCAUUUCAUGCUUGCAUCGGCUUUAGAUUGCAAUGCCUUUUACUUUGGUCGUUUUCAUGAUUUUGUGCCGUUACCGUUUGGUUUUCUUCUUCUGUUUCAACCGUGUUUUGUAUUGCAGCAGCGUGGCUUUUCCGUUUUGGCUUGUAGUUGUACGUUACAGCUCCUGUGUUGCAGCUUGUUUUCAUCUUCAAUAUGCUUUCUUUUUGCUUAGUGUAAAUUGUUAUGUACAUGGUGAAUCUAUAUGCAUUAUUGGAUAUUGUUGGAUAGUGAAUUGGAUAUUGAUUUUGGAAAUUGUAAAA